rnacentral:rRNA from 1 species
GCAGGCCUAACACAUGCAAGUCGAGCGGUAACAGGUCCAGCUUGCUGGACGCUGACGACCGUCGGACGGGUGAGUAAUGCAUAGGAAUCUACCCAGUCGUGGGGGAUAACCUGGGGAAACCCAGGCUAAUACCGCAUACGUCCUACGGGAGAAAGCGGGGGCUCUUCGGACCUCGCGCGAUUGGAUGAGCCUAUGUCGGAUUAGCUGGUUGGUGGGGUAACGGCUCACCAAGGCGACGAUCCGUAGCUGGUCUGAGAGGAUGAUCAGCCACACUGGGACUGAGACACGGCCCAUACUCCUAC